ACAAAGGAUCCAUUCAGGAUUUCAGAACAGCAAUGAAAGAUGUGUAUUUUGCAGAGUGCUAUAUAAGCCUAAUCCAACAGUGUUGGCUCCUAGGUGAUGAAGAACAAGCUCCAAAAUGUUACAGGAUUUGUCCAAGGUCACAAAUGAAGGAAUUGACUGAAGCGGACAAUAAAAGCCAAAUAGACUUGUGUCGAAGUGGAUCAUCCAACAUCAGAGAGGAUGGUAGUAUCAUCCAAUGUCAAUUAUAUUUUUGUUUAGUUCCUGUAUAAUAGUGUUUUUCUGUCUUUAGCUAUUGUUGUGUAACAGCACUUUUUCUUUUCCUUACAAAUCCUUUGUUCUGUAUAUUUAUUUAUUCGUUUGGUACAACUAAUUAGAAUGAUUCAAACAAUAAAUCUCUUUAACUUCUCUCUCUCCACUUAAAAGACACUGUUACCCAUC